rnacentral:rRNA from 1 species
GUAGGGAAUCUUCGGCAAUGGACGAAAGUCUGACCGAGCAACGCCGCGUGAGUGAAGAAGGUUUUCGGAUCGUAAAACUCUGUUGGUAGAGAAGAACGUUGGUGAGAGUGGAAAGCUCAUCAAGUGACGGUAACUACCCAGAAAGGGACGGCUAACUACGUGCCAGCAGCCGCGGUAAUACGUAGGUCCCGAGCGUUGUCCGGAUUUAUUGGGCGUAAAGCGAGCGCAGGUGGUUUAUUAAGUCUGGUGUAAAAGGCAGUGGCUCAACCAUUGUAUGCAUUGGAAACUGGUAGACUUGAGUGCAGGAGAGGAGAGUGGAAUUCCAUGUGUAGCGGUGAAAUGCGUAGAUAUAUGGAGGAACACCGGUGGCGAAAGCGGCUCUCUGGCCUGUAACUGACACUGAGGCUCGAAAGCGUGGGGAGCAAACAGGAUUAGAAACCCGUGUAGUCC